rnacentral:rRNA from 1 species
AGCGAACGCUGGCGGCAGGCCUAACACAUGCAAGUCGAACGAACCUUUCGGGGUUAGUGGCGGACGGGUGCGUAACACGUGGGAACGUGCCUUUAGGUUCGGAAUAACUCAGGGAAACUUGUGCUAAUACCGAAUGUGCUCUUCGGGGGAAAGAUUAAUCGCCUUUAGAGCGGCCCGCGUCUGAUUAGCUAGUUGGUUGAGGUAAUGGCUCACCAAGGCGACGAUCAGUAGCUGGUCUGAGAGGAUGAUCAGCCACAUUGGGACUGAGACACGGCCCAAACUCCUACGGGAGGCAGCAGUGGGGAAUAUUGCGCAAUGGGCGAAAGCCUGACGCAGCCAUGCCGCGUGAAUGAUGAAGGUCUUAGGAUUGUAAAAUUCUUUCACCGGGGACGAUAAUGACGGUACCCGGAGAAGAAGCCCCGGCUAACUUCGUG